UACAGAGACUGCAAGCGUUAUUCGGAUUCACUGGGCGUAAAGGGUGCGCAGGCGGUUGGGUGUGUCAGAUGUGAAAUCCCGAGGCUUAACCUCGGAACUGCGUCUGAAACUACUCGACUAGAGUACUGGAGAGGGUAACGGAAUUCACGGUGUAGCAGUGAAAUGCGCCAGAUAUCAGGAAGAACACCCGUGGCGAAGGCGGCUCUCUGGAACGGUACUGACGCUGAAGACGCGAAACGUGGGGAGCGAACAGG
rnacentral:rRNA from 1 species